UUACUUCUCCCUCCGUCCCAAAAUUCUUGUCUUAGAUUUGUCUCGAUGUGGAUGUAUCUAAUACUAAAAUGUGAUUUGAUACAUUCUUUGUAUUUUUAGACAAAUCUAAGACAUGAAUUUUGGGACGGAGAGAGUAUAAU
rfam:Triticum aestivum genome assembly, contig: Triticum_aestivum_CS42_TGACv1_scaffold_252482_3DL